UUUAGGAAAGACAGGGAGCUCAAGUCUGGUCUUCAUUGUAAUAAAGAGAUUCUGGAGCUUUGCUUUAAGUGAACACACAAGAAGGUUUGAAGUCAACUCAGACAACUCAGACCAGAAGCUGAACUGAGUUUAAGCGAAGAGAAGGAGCACUGUUAGAUGAAAAAUAAGCCAAGUUAAGUUACAUUGUGAAGCUAAUUUUCCCAUUGAACAUGAAAAGCCAAAGCGUGCUCUGACAGCACUUGGUACAAAGCAGGAGCCAAAAUGGGGUGGGAUGCCAGUGAAACACUGAAAACCUGAAGCACAAAGCCACAGAGUCCAUACAGGCAAAAAGACAAAAUGUGGUGGAGGUUUUUGUCACUGUCACCUGAUCGAAGUGCUGUGAAGCUGCCUGUGAUGUUGGAACAUAAGUGGAUACUCCAUCUGCAUCAAAUCUCUAAGGACAAAGCUUAAAAAACAAUGAAGAACAACUAAGUACAUUUAAUUUAUGUAGAAUCCCCAGUGCAGGCUGAGCAGUCUUUUCGCCUGGAAACCACUGCAGAGUUUGUUUUUUUGUCCAGCAUCUCACCCCUAGCUUUUUAAAAAUGUUUUCUGUCCUCUCUAGCCACCUGACCAUAACAUUGAACUAACCAAUCUUCUUCUUCUUCUUCUUUUGGCUGCUCCCAUAUCUUUCUGUCCUUUCUGUUACACCCAUAACCUGCA